rnacentral:rRNA from 1 species
GAUGAACGCUCGCGCUAGGCUUAACACAUGCAAGUCGAGGGGCAGCGUGGGUAGCAAUACCUGUAGGCGACCGGCGCAAGGGUGAGUAACGCGUAUGUAACCUGCCCGCUACAGGGGGAUAACCCGGCGAAAGUCGGACUAAUACCGCAUAAAACAGCGGUCCAGCAUGGGACUCUUUGUUAAAGAUUUAUCGGUUGCGGAUGGGCAUGCGUACCAUUAGGUAGUUGGUGAGGGAACGGCUCACCAAGCCUUCGAUGGUUAUGGUUUCUGAGAGGAAGGUCCCCCACAAUGGUACUGAGACACGGACCAGACCCCUACGGGAGGCAGCAGUGAGGAAUAUUAGUCAAGGAGCGAGAGCCUGAACCAGCCAAGUCGCGUGAAGGAUGACUGCCCUAUGUGUUGUAAACUUCUUUUACAAGGGAAUAAAAUGAGAUACGGGUAUUUUAUUGCAUGUACCUUGGGAAUAAGCAACGGCUAACUCCGUG